rnacentral:rRNA from 1 species
GGGCCCGCACAAGCGGUGGAGCAUGUGGUUUAAUUCGAUGCAACGCGAAGAACCUUACCUACUCUUGACAUCCAGAGAACUUUCCAGAGAUGGAUUGGUGCCUUCGGGAACUCUGAGACAGGUGCUGCAUGGCUGUCGUCAGCUCGUGUUGUGAAAUGUUGGGUUAAGUCCCGCAACGAGCGCAACCCUUAUCCUUGUUUGCCAGCGAGUAAUGUCGGGAACUCCAGGGAGACUGCCGGUGAUAAACCGGAGGAAGGUGGGGACGACGUCAAGUCAUCAUGGCCCUUACGAGUAGGGCUACACACGUGCUACAAUGGCGCAUACAGAGGGCGGCCAACUUGCGAGAGUGAGCGAAUCCCAAAAAGUGCGUCGUAGUCCGGAUCGGAGUCUGCAACUCGACUCCGUGAAGUCGGAAUCGCUAGUAAUCG